AUAUUACUCCCUCUGUUCGGAAUUACUCGUCUAAAAAAUGAAUGUAUCUAGAUGUAUUUUAUUUGUAGACACAUCUAUUUUUGUGACAAGUAAUUCCGAAUGGAGGGAGUAGAUU
rfam:Triticum aestivum genome assembly, contig: Triticum_aestivum_CS42_TGACv1_scaffold_434476_5DL